rnacentral:rRNA from 1 species
GAUGAACGCUGGCGGCGUGCCUAAUACAUGCAAGUCGAGCGAACAGACGAGGAGCUUGCUCCUCUGACGUUAGCGGCGGACGGGUGAGUAACACGUGGAUAACCUACCUAUAAGACUGGGAUAACUUCGGGAAACCGGAGCUAAUACCGGAUAAUAUAUUGAACCGCAUGGUUCAAUAGUGAAAGACGGUUUUGCUGUCACUUAUAGAUGGAUCCGCGCCGCAUUAGCUAGUUGGUAAGGUAACGGCUUACCAAGGCAACGAUGAGUAGCCGACCUGAGAGGGUGAUCGGCCACACUGGAACUGAGACACGGUCCAGACUCCUACGGGAGGCAGCAGUAGGGAAUCUUCCGCAAUGGGCGAAAGCCUGACGGAGCAACGCCGCGUGAGUGAUGAAGGUCUUCGGAUCGUAAAACUCUGUUAUUAGGGAAGAACAAAUGUGUAAGUAACUACGCACGUCUUGACGGUACCUAAUCAGAAAGCCACGGCUAACUACGUG